AGAGUUUGAUCCUGGCUCAGGAUGAACGCUAGCUACAGGCUUAACACAUGCAAGUCGAGGGGCAGCAUGUUGGUUGCUUGCAACCAACGAUGGCGACCGGCGCACGGGUGAGUAACGCGUAUCCAACCUACCCUUGUCCAUCGGAUAACCCGUCGAAAGGCGGCCUAACACGAUAUGCGGUUCACAGCAGGCAUCUAACGUGAACGAAAUGUGAAGGAGAAGGAUGGGGAUGCGUCUGAUUAGCUUGUUGGCGGGGUAACGGCCACCAAGGCUACGAUCAGUAGGGGUUCUGAGAGGAAGGUCCCCCANAUUGGAACUGAGACACGGUCCAAACUCCUACGGAAGGCA
rnacentral:rRNA from 1 species